UAUGAAAAAGAGAGAAAAAGGCAAAUGAAAUGAAAAGAAGGUAAUGGAAUGGAAUGGAAGCACGCUUCUUUUCCUUUCAUUUUGUCCUUUUUCACCUUUUUCCCCUCUCGUGACUUGAGUGUGUGGUGUGUUUCUCUUUCUUUCACUUCAUUCGGCUCGUGCUUCACUUUAUUUCCAUUACAACUGAACCAAAUAGAAAGAGAAAGAAGCACAAAGAACACAAGAGGAACAACAAUAGGAUUCCUUCACCAGGAGUUACAGUGUGAGAAGCAUGAACGAAGUGAAAAGAAAUGAAGAGUGAUAAG
rnacentral:ribozyme from 1 species